GGCCUAUUUGAUUAAAAAUAUUAGGUCUACUCUGCCCAUUGAAAAAGAUUAAAAGGCUGCAGUAUUUUGACUGUACUAAGGUAGCAUAAUCAUUUGUUUUUUAAUUGAAAACUGGAAUGAAAGAGUGAAUGAAAUAUAAAUUGUCUCAGUAUAAUUGAUUGAAUUUAAAUUAAAAGUUAAAAUGCUUUUAUAUAUUUAUAAGACGAUAAGACCCUAUAGAAUUUAAUAAAAUUUAUUUUUUAAAAUCAUUAUGUUAAGAAAAGAUCUAAUUAAUAAAUAUAUUUUAUUGGGAGGAUAUUUAAAUUAAAAUAACUUUAAAAUAAUUUAAACAUAAAUAAAUGAGUAAGUAAUUUGAUUAUUAUUAUAAUUAUUAGAAUAAAUUACCUUAGGGAUAACAGCGUAAUAAUUUUGGAGAGUUCAUAUUGAUAAAAUUGUUUGCGACCUCGAUGUUGAAUUAUGAUAAAAUUUAAAUGGAGAGAUUUAAAUUUUUAGUCUGUUCGACUAUUAAAAUCAUACA
rnacentral:rRNA from 1 species